AAAUGAAUAGACGGGGGCCCGCACAAGCGGAGGAGCAUGUGGUUUAAUUCGAUGAUACGCGAGGAACCUUACCCGGGCUCGAACGUAUGUUGAAUAAUAUGGAAACAUGUUAGUCUUUUAGACAGCAUACGAGGUGCUGCAUGGUUGUCGUCAGCUCGUGCCGUGAGGUGUCAGGUUAAGUCCUAUAACGAGCGCAACCCUUACUGUUAGUUGCCAGCAAGUAAUGUUGGGGACUCUAACGGAACUGCCUACGCAAGUAGUGAGGAAGGUGGGGAUGACGUCAAAUCAGCACGGCCCUUAUGUCCGGGGCGACACACGUGCUACAAUGGUCGAUACAGAGGGCUGCUACUACGCGAGUAGAUGCUAAUCUCAAAAAUCGAUCUCAGUUCGGAUCGGAGUCUGUAACUCGACUCCGUGAAGUUGGAUUCGCUAGUAAUCGCACAUCAGCCAUGGUGCGGUGAAUACGUUCCCGGGCCUUGUACACACCGCCCGU
rnacentral:rRNA from 1 species